rnacentral:rRNA from 1 species
GACGAACGCUGGCGGCGUGCCUAAUACAUGCAAGUAGAACGCACAGUUUAUACCGUAGCUUGCUACACCAUAGACUGUGAGUUGCGAACGGGUGAGUAACGCGUAGGUAACCUGCCUGGUAGCGGGGGAUAACUAUUGGAAACGAUAGCUAAUACCGCAUAAUAUUAAUUAUUGCAUGAUAAUUAAUUGAAAGGUGCAAUUGCACCACUACCAGAUGGACCUGCGUUGUAUUAGCUAGUAGGUGAGGUAACGGCUCACCUAGGCGACGAUACAUAGCCGACCUGAGAGGGUGAUCGGCCACACUGGGAGUGAGACACGGCCCAGACUGCUACGGGAGGCAGCAGUAGGGAAUCUUCGGCAAUGGACGAAAGUCUGACCGAGCAACGCCGCGUGAGUGAAGAAGGUUUUCGGAUCGGAAAGCUCUGUUGUAAGAGAAGAACGGGUGUGAGAGUGGAAAGUUCACACUGUGACGGUAUCUUACCAGAAAGGGACGGCUAACUACGUG